rnacentral:lncRNA from 1 species
AUGGUUCAUGCUGAUUUUUGCCAAGCUUGGUCAGCCUCAUUACUAUGGUACCCAGCAGGUUCUCAGCUCCUGCAGGCCUCCACAGCACUGCUUUGGGUCACCCCAGAUACCACCACAGCCUGCCUUGAGCCUCCUGAAAGCUGCUUCCCAGGUACAGAUGGAUUAACGACGAGGAUGAUAUCAGGACCUUUGUCAAGCUUGUAGAUAACCCAUGGAAGAGGACAGACAAGGCAAACUCCUCUGUGUUCCUGUGCAGUCAGGAAAUGGCCUGGAAGCAAAGCAGCAUUGCAGAGCCAUGGGGAUAAAGGCUGCUGGAUCAGGGAGCUCCUCCGAGGAGAGUGGGCAGUGACCAGCACUAGAGUCAUGCCCAGCUCCCAGCAGGAGGGAGCAAAGGGUUUUAUACUCCCUGCUCUCGCUGACACUCUUAGCACCUGGAUUUGAAUUCACUGUAGCAAAGAACAUUCUGUAGCCGCAGUAAAUAAUUCACUCACGGUCCAAAUAAAGGGAGGGUUUCACAGGGAGUUCUAUAGGAA